UCCGGGUUGGGGUAAUGGUAACCCGCCAGGCUCUGAACCUGGUACCCCUGGUUCGAUUCCAGGCCCCGGAA
rnacentral:tRNA from 1 species